GGGUAAGGAAGUAUUACCAAGUCUGUUUUUCAGACUAAGGAGGAGUUUGCAAACUGAGAUAGUGCAAAAUAGACGUCUUGUUGCCCAGAACAUGACCAGAGACACCCAGUUUUGGCAUGCAGGCAGGGAGGCAGGAACACCAUGGGCUGGGAAAUAACUUCCCUCUGCAUGUCAUGGGGAUCUCCCAGGUUUAAUAACUCACCUUAUUGCUUGCUGUUGACUCCCCUCAGAAUUUACAGUUAAUAUCAACCUUAAGAAAAACAGAGCAAAAAUCAAUAACCAGAGAAGAAAGAGGAGCCCCAUCUCCCCAGGCUGUCACCUGCUGCCUGACAGACACAGCCACAGCUGCCCACCCCUGACAGACCCUGCCCAGGGCUCAGAAAGAGAGGAGGAAAAAUUUCUGACACCAGACAGGUGAGUUGUACCAGCAAGAAGCCAUAAAUAAAGACAGAUCCUGGUAAUAAAAGAACCCUGUGAUGAUCUGUGAAGCUUCACAACAAUCCUUGGCUCAUCCCAAACACCUGAUACUGGCAAAAUUAAUGUAGGGAGAAGGAGGGUGAAGCCAGAGGAUUUCUGCCUGAGAGUUCAACACUUUUUCAAGAGAUGAUGGGGACCCCCAGCCACUCUUGGUCUGAAUUCCUACAAUGAAGUUAACAUUACAGUUAAAUAGGAAGUUUUGCAGCAUACCAGUGCACAGUGCACAUAAAAACUAACAGUGCACAUAAAAACUAACAGUGCACAUACUGCCAGUGCACAUAAAAACUAACAAAAUCAGCCACUAAAUGGAACCAGUGGAACAGGUAGGAGGAGGGUUAUACACACAGGUGGGGGAUAUCUUUUGUGCAGCAACCUGGAGAAAGUCUGCUUUUAAUCUUUUUGAGAAGAGACAUGAAUAGGAGACAGGCGAGAAGCACAAUUUUCCACAACCUCCCCAAAUCUCCUUCUGAUCCUCAGAGGAUCUAUUCAGGAUGGCACUGAUACUGCCUCUUGUUCAUAUUGCAAGUUGGUGAGGGAUUGUAACACCAGAAGCAAACUGUAUUCAAAACUGAAACCUUGCAGUGAGUUGUAACCCUUCAUCCUUUCUUUUCUUACUAAAACUCAGCGCCCAGUAGUUUGGGUUAAAGGCUGGCCAUGCAGAUCCAGAGAACAGCACACAGCCUUGUUACUGCACACUGUGCCCUUGGAGCUGCCUCCCCGCCGCAGAGACAGGCUGGGCCAGGGACAGCGCCAGGAGCAUCCUGGUGCUGCAGGGGACUGCCCUGCCCCUGAGCCAUGCAGGCAGCACCCCAGGGCCCGUCCGAGGGCUGAGCUGGCAGCCCUGGGCUGGGUGAAGCUUUUCUCCUGCUGCAGAGCCCAGCCCAACAUCCACGGCCCCUUUUGUUCCCAGCUCAGCUGACAAAGCAGCUCUGUUUGACUCGGGAUCUGCUUGAGUGUAAAGGAGGAACCAAGGACAACCUUUCUCUACAAUUAAACCUUUUGCUUUUCCUCCCAGAGCACCUCCAGCUCGUGUUCUACCUGUGUGGAUGUGUGGCAGCUGACCCAGGAGUGUCACUGGGUGCCCACCCACAUCUCCUGGCUGUGUGAAACUCGAUCAAGCUGCACUCUGUCUUCUGAACACACAAAGAAGGCAACUGCACAGAGAAAAUGACAAUUUUUGUCAGGACCCAGGGAAUUCAUGCGUGACCACACAACCUUUCCCCAAGGGUGAAGCUCUUCACCCUGCAGAAGCCCCCAGGAGCUGUGUGGGGCUGCCCACUGUGCUGGGCCAGUGCAGGCAGGGCAGGGAGGCUGGGAUGCUCCCACCAUUCAGAUAACAUCCAGAGUCCUUCCCCUACACCCCCUGGAGCAGUGGCAAAGCUGACUGGGGUGGCAGGAGGUGUGUGGUGCUUAUUGCCCAGCCCCUGCCUGGGUGAACCACAACACUCCUCCCAGCCCAGAGGAGAACAAUGGAUCUGGGUGCAGCACUGACCAAAUACACACAAGCUCCCUUUUACAGAAUCCCAGAAUGGUUUGGGUUGGAAGGGACCUUAAGGUCACCCAGUUCCACCCCACUGCCUUAGACUUAUCUGGAAACUUCCUAAAUGCUCCUGCUUUAGCUGGUGCAGACAUGUCCUGAGGAACCUAAUGGUAGAAUUUAGUUUGAAAUAGCACUUAAAAGCUCUUCUGAAAUAAAGCAUUUUCAUGACUUCUCUGCACUUGAGCCAAUUUCUUCAGGCAGCCUGCCCCAUAUUUAAGAACCAAAGGCAAGAUCCCCACAUUAGGUGUCUAGUGCUAGGUUUUAAGGCCCUGCACUUGAAAAUAUGUUCCUGAAUAUCUGAUACUCAGGCACCUGGAAAUAAGCAUUUGCCUUUGGAGCGAACAAAAAAGGAAAGCAUCCCUGUAUGUUAUUUUUAUUUUCUUUCCUUUAUAUGGUUUUAAGCUGCUUUUAUGCGGCACUGGAAAGUUACAGCCCGUGAUUUGUUGCAUUCUGGUCUGCUAAUAGAAACAUCCCCCUGACUGCUGCUCACUCUGCAGAGCAGGAGGAUCGUAAUGCAGAUUGUAAAUGGUUGCAUUACGGGGAAAGAUAAUGUUUCUUUCCACUUUCAUUUCCCUCGGUUGGUGUUUAUCGUGGCAGGGGUUGCGUAAGCAUAUGAGAGAGAGAUCAUGCAUUAUUUACCAGGCUGGGACUGGGGAAAGGCUCCAGCCUUUCAGAGGGUGGAUGAACGCCCAGCAAUUCCCACCCGCUAAGAUUUGUGCUGUGUUUGGUGGGAGCUUGGCUGAGGAAUUGUGAAAGCAAACAGGAUCAUCCUGCCAGCCUGGAGAGAGGCAGGGAUGGGGCUGAGGGACACAGGCUCUGCUCUCUCUCUGUUCAGCUCUGGACAGUUCAUGGCAGUAUUUAUCUCACUCCUUGGCGAGACUGCACCAGAAUUGCCACCAAGUCACCAGAACCAUCAACCAAUUCCUAAAGGUCUGCUGGGGCUCCAACACACCUGAACAAAAUUUCUUGCUCUUGAAUGUAGCCGAGGGCAGCCAAACCCAGAGAUGGGGCUGACCCAGGAGGAGACACAAGCCUUUCCAGCCCCAGGAUUGUCCCCACAAUGCCACCGGGGCCAGUGAUGCUGACCCAGUUUCUAAAUGGAACAGGAAGUUGCAACACUCUGAAGUUUAUUAUCAUUAAAAUCUAGCCAGGGUUAGAGGCUCUGUUUGUCCCUGCAGUGCUACUGCCAGUGCACAUAAAAACUUACAAAAUCAGCCACUAAAUGCUGGCAGCCUUGGGAAAGUAUUUUUUUAAAAAAUCCUAAAAACAAGAAACAAACACAGUGAAACUACUAAAUAAGGAAUAAGUUAAUGAGGAAAAAUUAAAAGGUACUGGAGACUUUAAAUACUCUUUCAAAUUAAGGAGUACAAAGAGAAAAGAUCAGCUCUUAUUUUUGCAAUUAAGGUGUUAUUUACGGCAAUUUAGCUGUUUUAAGAUUAAGCUUGGAAACAGUGCCAUGGAAAAUACAUCUUAUUUACUCCCAAGGCUUCUCAUCAGUUUCUAGAUGAGCACCAGCCAGCCAGCCAAAAGGCAAGAGGAGUUCUGAACUCCCUGUAAAACACCCUGAGGAUUGAUGCCCACACUGGGCAGCUGCACUGUGACCACUGGGAACAGCCACAGCACUGGCACCAGAGCUGAGCUACGGCACCUUCAGGGCAGGAACCUUCCCAGGAUGAGAGAGAACUUUGUGCAGGAGCAAAAGGGGGAAAAUAAAGAUUCUGCUUCUGUGUCUACGUGCAGCCUGCAUGUGAAGAGGGGUGGGAAGAGGGUGCUCAGGGGGGCUCCCUGUGUGUGCAGGGCAGGGAUGCAGCCCCAUGAGGCUGUCUGGGGGCAUUUACCAGGCAGAGCAAACAGCCCUGUCCCCGCAGCGAGUGAACCAUCCCAUCCCAGGACUGUGCCAUCCUCCCCAGGGACACAGCCAGGGGAACGCUCCCCACAGGCUCAGGGGAGGGAGGGAUGGAGGUGAAAGAUGCCAAGGAGCCCCUGGCAGAGCCCUUUCUUCUGCACCACAUGUGCAGGGAGGAAACACAUCAAUGUCCAUGACAUCCCUAUGCAUCUUUGGUUGCAUUUUCCUCCUAUUACAGAGUUGGAAACAUUUGCUGAGAACUUGUAUGAAAAACAUUAAGACUGUGCACACUCCUUGUAGGAUUCAGCCCCAGAUGCCUUCUUGUUUUUCCUACAUAUAAAUAAAAGCAAUAAAGGAAAUAAAUAAAAAAGUAUGUAAAGCUUUGUUAAAAGCAGUUCAGAGAGGAGAGAGCUGAAGAUGGGAUGAUGCUGGGAAGACAUUCAGCCUUGCCAUGCUGCUGCUCACAGAGUCCCCUCUUUGAAGGAGGCAUGAAAGGAGACUUUGCAACAUGAGAGUUCAAACUGUGGCUCUGUUGAUUUUUCCAGCCCCCACGGCUGCCUGCCUCAGCAUCCAGUUCUCUGAACCCACAGAGUAAAUAGGUGUAACUCCCGUGGCUCUGCAGGCAGGAGAUGUGCUCCAGGGAGGAGCACUGGGGGCAGGCAGGAAAAGCUCCUGCUGCCAUCCUGGAGAGCAGCAUGAGGCACUCAGAGCACUUGGGCUGAAAAACUGGGGGAAGAGAGAGAGGGAGGAACAAAAAUCAAGAAAAUCUUCCAGAGAGGAAGACCUCCUUGUGAAUGACAAGGUCCCCAGGACUUGUAAGUAAACACACAGCUAAUGCCUCGUCUGAGGAUGGAUGCAGGAGGAUGCGAACAGGAAUGUGACAGAGAUGUGUCAGCUUUUUACCUCCCAGAAGAGCUGCUGGCAGCACAAGGGUUUUAACUGGAGCACCUGGAGAUGGCAGGAGAUGAGGAACAUGCUGACCAGGGCCUCAGAGGGUGUUGAUUUGAUUUUAUUCAAAUCUAACUGACCAGAAGAUUUCUCUUCUCUUCAUUCGCCCUCUCUCAGCAGAAACAUUUAUUAUGCUAAGUGAAAUGUUUAACCACUGGCACUGUUGGCUGCAACAGCUCAUCAUAAGCAGCUUUAGCAUUCGCUGGGAUCGGCGCCCUGGGGCUGGAGGUGGUGUCUUCCUCUGCCCAGUUAUUCUUCCUCGCUCUUCUCGUCUCCCCUGCCCAUUUUUCAGGUUGCAAUGCGUUAAAAUAAAAGUAUUAACGGCGCUUAUCUUUUGCAUGGGAGACUGUGAGAGCAAGCUGGCGAGCAGCCAGGAGCUAAUAGCAGCAUAAAGCAAUUUGCUGAAAAAAAGAAUUAACAUGCUAAUUGUCAGGCUGGAGAGGGUGCUGCGGAUCACAGAGGAGUAAAACAAGAAAAAAAAAAAAAAAA
rnacentral:lncRNA from 1 species